CGGGGUGUGGCGCAGUUGGCUAGCGUACCAGCAUGGGGUGCUGGGGGUCGGAAGUUCGAGUCUUCUCACCCCGACUA
rnacentral:tRNA from 1 species